GGCUGGUCCGAGUGCAGUGCUGUUUACAAGUUGAUCACAACCAGUUACAGAUUUCUUUGUUCCUUCCCCGCUCCACGGCUGCACUUGGUUAGCCUUUA
ensembl:Y_RNA Y_RNA Y RNA